rnacentral:piRNA from 1 species
UUCACUUGAUGCAGAUCAUUUUGCCCGGCU